rnacentral:rRNA from 1 species
AGCGUAGGCGGAACUACAAGACAGGGGUCAAAUCUCCGGGACUCAACCUGGAACUUGCCUUUGUGACUGUGGUUCUUGAGUAUGGUAGAGGUUGGCGGAAUUUCCGGUGUAGCGGUGGAAUGCGUAGAGAUCGGAAAGAACACCAGAGGCGAAGGCGGCCAACUGGACCAAUACUGACGCUGAGGCUCGAAAGCGUGGGGAGCAAACAGGAUUAGAUACCCUGGUAGUCCACGCUGUAAACGAUGAACACUAGAUGUCGGGAGGGGUUCCUUCCGGUGUCGUCGCUAACGCAGUAAGUGUUCCGCCUGGGGAGUACGCUCGCAAGGGUGAA